UACGGAGGGUGCGAGCGUUGUCCGGAAUCAUUGGGCGUAAAGGGCGCGUAGGUGGCUUCUUAAGCGUGCGGUGAAAGCCUGGGGCUCAACCCCGGGUCGGCCGUGCGAACUGGGGGGCUGGAGCACUGUAGAGGCAGGCGGAAUUCCGGGUGUAGCGGUGGAAUGCGUAGAGAUCCGGAAGAACACCGGUGGCGAAGGCGGCCUGCUGGGCGACUGCUGACACUGAGGCGCGACAGCGUGGGGAGCAAACAGG
rnacentral:rRNA from 1 species